AUGCAGCAGGCCUCAUCCUCUUCUUCAUUGGGGUCUUUGCUCCUCUCAGCUUCUGGGAUGUCUUUGUCUUCUCCGGAUCCCUCAUUAUCUUCCUCAGCCUGGUGUUCUGGAUCUUCUGGUACCUGGGAAACCUGGAGUUGCCGAUGGAGGAGCUGCUCCCCAAAUGAGAUUUAUGGCUUCUUCAUUUGCAGCACAAAACAGUUGUCUGGCAACUGGUGCUGGAAAAUGAAUCCCAAGCUACAGCAACAGGGUGAAAAGGUUCCACCCCAUCUCACUGGUAGCUGUUUGUAUAUUUGCCUCACCACCCAAAGAAACAUGGGACUUUACUCUCAAAGGACAAAUAUGGAACUCUAACCUGAAAGGUGACACCUCAGACUCAGGGACAGGUUGAGAAACUUUUGAAUGGUGGGUCUAGACUGUUGGACAUUUGUGAAACUAGUAAAAGUUUCACAUUGGUUUAACAACAAACUGUACAUUAAUAAUAGUUACACUGUUCUUUCAUUAUUCAGUGCAAUAAAUGAAUGCCAAAUAAACAACUUUAAAUAACAAGAAAUAGCUGCCAUUUCUAAGUUGCCACAGCCUUUUUAUGGUCAUGUUGUACCUCUUUGUAGUUGUUUUGAAUCUCUUUGUAGACUAGAGCUUCUCCUUGUAGUUGUUAAUGUUAAUGUUUUUGUCAUUUUUGUAGCCUCACACAUCUUUUUUUUUAUGUGUCUCUUUGUAGUUGUUAUGUCUGUUUUUAGUUGUUUUGUGUUUCUUUGUAGUCAUAGUACAUUUAUUUGAAGUCGUUUGGAAUCUCUUUGUAGUCUAGAGCAUCUCUUUUUGCUGUUAUGUGUCUCUUUGUAGGUUUUUACUUCUUUGUAGUCAUGUGAUUGACUGUCCAACAAGAAAGGGGUUGGUUGAUCAGAUUAGAGGGAGGCAACCAUUACAUCCCUAUUGCCUCACCUCUGCUCAGACUGUACGCUGUAAAUUCUGUGUUUAAUAGCAUACAUUUUGUUUAUUUCAUUUCAGAUCAUGUGGAUUUUGGACAUUCUUAUGAUGUCUCACUCUAACCUUAAAAUCAGGACCAAAAACUCUGUCCUCCAGUUGCACAACUUCCUCUCUUUUUUGAUGACACCAUUUAUCAUCUAUUUACACCCUUUCUUUUUUAUCAAUUUCUUCCUAAGGCCAUUGUUCCUGACCGGUCUCUGUGGUGAUUUUCCUGUUGUGAAAUCUGAGUAUUGGUCAUUCAAUCCAUUCAACAGAAACCAGUCAAACUGGGUCCAUUAGCUGGGGCAGGAAGAGCUCUCAUUUUACAAGAAUGAGUUUCUGUACAAGGAGGAGGGGGGAUUUUCUUUCCCCUGUUUAUAAAAUAUUAUAAUGACAAAAAAAUAUGGUGGAAAUGAGCUUUUGGAAGCUAUUUGCACAGAUUUGUGAUGUGUACUCUUGUAUAAUCUUUUUCCUCAAGUAUGUGGCACAACUUGUUUCUCUGUUACUUAGACACACCCUAUUUACAGUGGGGCUGAUAUUUAAGCUCAACACAAGACAGAAUAAUCCUCAGGCUUAGCAACAGUAGCCACAAGAAUAGAGCUUCAACAACAAGACAAACAAAGAGACAAAGGAGAAAACAAAGGAUUCUAACCAUUUUCUAAAGAAAGUUACACUUGUAAUUGUUUAUUGUCUUUACAUAUACACGUGAUUUAUUUGAUAUGAUAUGUUUGAUUUAAGAGAAUAAUAGAGAUUUCAAAAAGUAGUUACUGUUAAUUGCAUUUUAAAACUCUUUGCAUAACCCAUGUUUACUCUUCACAGCCUCUUUCUAAAAGCUGCAGUGUUUUUCAAGGUGUGGGCCCACGCAGCUAUUUAGCCUUGCACAAGGGGAAUAUAAGGGAAAAUGUGUCAGCCAACCAUUACUAAUUCAUAACUGCACCCUAACGGCUCAAACAGCUCCAUAAGAAUUACUUUGAGCUGGUCGACAGGUGAUUCUUAUGUGUCACAAUCCCUCCGUCUCUGGGGCUUCAGGUUCCACCUCACACCUAACGUGUCUUUCUAUUAGCUAUUGCCAGCCUGCUUUACAGUGCAUGGCCAGCGUGCACAUGCAAACACACUCCUACACCUGCUCUGGAUCACUGGAACAUGACACUGUUUGACUCAGUGCUGUGGUGACAAAGGGCACAGGGAUUAAGUUCUGCAGGGCCUGUCAGUGUAGUGUUUGGUUGUUGUGGCUCCAGCCAGCACAUCACACCGUAGCAGCAGCAGCGUGCUGGCAUUUGAUGUGAUGGAGUCCAGUGUUAGAGGAAGUUAAAUCUUUUGCAUAAAACCUUUAAUCUAAAACAUACCUAGUAACUAUAGCUGUGAGAUAAAUGUAGUGGAGUAAAAAGUACAAUAUUUCCCUCUGACAGUAGUGGAAAGUAUUCAUGUACUGUAGUACAAUUUUUAGGGGCCUUUUUGCUACUUUAUGCCUCUGCUCCACUACAUCUCAGUGCUAAAUAUUGUACUUCACUACAUCUACUUGACAGCUGUAGCUUAAUUACUUUUCAGAUUAAGAUUUUACAUUUAAAACAAUUAUAAGCUUAUGAAAUAUAAGGCAUUGUUAUAGCAGUGGUUCCCAAAUCCCUUACAAUAAAGCACUUUGGGGUCUGUUUAUGAGUUGUUUGUUGUUCCACCAAAAAUACAUUUCAACCCAAAACAUCUCAUGUAUCUCAUUAAAAUGUUUAAGGGCCCAAAGAGGACACAUUAUCCAAGACUCCACUCAUAACCUGGCAAAGAUUAGAAGUGAGGCAUUAAAAAUAACUAUAUAGAAAGAGCCAAUCUUCUCACUGAUGGUCUUCUUUGUUAAUGUAGGUCCUAUAGAGGCAUCAUGUUGAAUUGAGGUUGUUUCAUAACCAGUUAUAAACUCAGAAUAUUAGUACAUAGUUACUUUCCACCACUGGUAGAGUCUAUAGCUUCCUGGUUCUUCUCAGCGAAGUAACUAUCACAAUAUUCAAUAUUUAUUCAUUGCAAUAAAUUAAUGUCAAAUAAAUAACAUUAACUCUUCCAGUAUGAAAUAAUAUCCAUAAAUAGUUGCUAUUGUAAAUGCAAGUAGCCAACGGAUAUAGACGGAUUAUGAGACAAGGGGACACCUAGACACAGGCAUGUAAUUGUGGCUGUUUCCUGUCACUUUAUGGUCUUUUGCAUCACUUUGUGGUUGUUUUGCAAUACUAAAAGGUCACCUACCUACCGCCUUCUUACCCUGGUAGAGAGGACCCCAAGGGAGCCCCAUCAGAUUCCACACCCCCUGUGCCACACUUCUAUCCUCACCUCUGCUACCGACAAGCUUCAAAUCAAGUGUUUGCAUGAUUCAUUUUGAGGACAUGCAGAUGUGUUGCAUAGCUGCCAAAUAGAACAAUAAUACAGCAUUUAACUUUUGAUGAUAUGGAAUAUUGUGAAUGAAUCCACAUGCUGUUAAUCAGAUUUAGAGUUAGUAAUAGAGUACCUAAACACCUCUAUAAACAUACAGUGCUGGUAACAGUACACAAGCAGUGAUCAUAGCCAAGUAAAACCCAGACCUCCCUGCAUGGCAAUACAAAGACCAGCAGGUGGCAGCACUGGACUGAUGUUUCACUGCAGCUGAGGUCUGCUCAUGGCACUACUACUGCUGUUAAUACCAUUACUACUACUACUACUACUACUACUACUACUACUACUACUACUUAUAAUAAUAAUAAUAAUAAUAAUAAUAAUAAUAAUAAUAAUCAUCAUCAUCAUCAUCAUCUAAAUCUUUUUCAUUGGAGGUGGUUCCAUUAGGGUAACGGUAAUACAUGAAGGCUUUUGUGUGUUGUUUGAUCUGGCCUAAGGUCCAUUUGUUUAAAUAUGCACAUUAUAAUUGACCAUACUUUAACCUAUGAAGAAAUUCAGUAAACACUGCCUACAUACAUAUUUACUAGGAUUAAUAUUAAAUGUAUCAGCAACACAGAACUCAAACAUUUGACAUUAAAAGUAAUAAUUUAAUAAAUUAGUUAAUAAGUUAAGAUAACUGUUGCUUUUUUACACGUCUUAUUUGUAAUCCAUAUUGACUGUGGAUACCAGCCAUGGACAAUUUUCCACAUCAUGCAGAAUGAAGUUUCUAAUCUAAAAUAUUUGAAUGAUGUUUAAUUAUGUGACUCACUAAAUGUUUGUUUUAAAUGUGAUUUCCUGGAGCAGAUCUAGAGAAAUGUUCAUGGUGUGGCCAGAGGGGGGCAGAAAUAUAUGCUGAAUUAAUCACAAACAUGUUGAUUUUUAAAAUGAAUCUAAAUUAAUGUGUUCAAUUUAACACCAACCUGGCAGUUGGGGUAGCCAGGCAUUUUUUAGGGGUGGCAGCUCCCACCCCAUGCCACCCCUCUAGAUCUGCCUUGUGUUUUUUUGUGCUUGAACACUGUUGUUUUUA
ensembl:lncRNA